rnacentral:pre_miRNA from 1 species
AGUGGGAUAGCUGGAUCAAAUGGUGGUUCCAUUCCAAGAUUUUUAAGGAAUCUCCAUACUGCUUUCCAGAUAGAUUGGGUGCACCAAUUUGCAGUCCCACCAGCAAU